UUUAAAUGUAUACUUAUGUACUUUAUACAAUUUCGGUUUUUGUCAAAAUUUACCCCCCACUCCUAUACUCGUUUACUAAACGUCUUAUAUAUGGGCAUGAGAUGAUAUGUACAUAUGUAUCUGCAUGGAUAUGUCAGUGCAACCCAUGUAAGCUUCUUUGGUGUGGAGCAAUCAUUGAGAUAGUGUCAUCUUGUUUUUCUACCCGUAAAUAAUGGCUGACUGCUCGAGAUUGAGAGAAGCAGGGCAGGAAGCGUGCACGGUGCAGGGGCUGCUUUAAUUUGUAGUUAAGCUGCACAAAUAACUCAAUUAGUCUUUAUGGUGCCACUCCCAUUUGCAGCGACGCCAACGCCCACCCUAUCCAGUUUGGCUAUUAGGUUCAUGCUAGAGCAGCUUGUGGAGCUGGACGAGCGUGUAGGACGGGUGUUCGCUCUGGUUUUGGAGGGCUGCACUACGCUUGGCGCUAACUUCGUUACGCGUUGAACUAAACUUUGCAGCGCAGCGUGCUGAUGAAAGAGUCCAUAAAGGUGCGAAGCUCAAGGGCUGUGUCUUCGGGCUAGACUCCACAGUUCAUCUACUUGGCUGCUGCAGCUCACCUCAAGUCUUCCCCCUUACUUUGCCUUUGCGCUCUUCCUUACACUUACUCACCUGCGGACAGCAAGAAACAAACAAAAAGCAACUCUCGACGCUUGAGGGCUCCACACCAAAUGGCAAAUAAAUAAAUAAAUAAAAUAAAUAAAAGCAACAAGAACAA